rnacentral:rRNA from 1 species
CCUACGGGAGGCAGCAGUGAGGAAUAUUGGUCAAUGGGAGGAAGCCUGAACCAGCCAUGCAGCGUGCAGGACGACGGCUCUACGAGUUGUAAACUGCUUUUGUACAGGGGUAAAAUGCUCUACGAGUAGGGUUUUGAAAGUACGGUACGAAUAAGGAUCGGCUAACUCCGUGCCAGCAGCCGCGGUAAUACGGAGGAUCCGAGCGUUAUCCGGAUUCAUUGGGUUUAAAGGGUGCGUAGGUUGUUUUAUAAGUUAGCGGUGAAAUACCGAUGCUCAACAUCGGGGCUGCCGCUGAUACUGUCGGACUAGAGAUCGGAUGCAGCAGGCGGAAUGUGUAGUGUAGCGGUGAAAUGCAUAGAUAUUACGCAGAACACCGAUUGCGAAGGCAGCUUGCUAGGCCGGAUCUGACACUGAUGCACGAAAGCGUGGGGAUCGAACAGGAUUAGAUACCCCAGUAGUC